rnacentral:rRNA from 1 species
GAAGCGUGCGAUUGGAUUGCACGUCUAAGCAGUAAGGCUGAGUAUUAGGCAAAUCCGGUACUCAUUAAGGCUGAGCUGUGAUGGGGAGAAGACAUUGUGUCUUCGAGUCGUUGAUUUCACACUGCCGAGAAAAGCCUCUAGAUAGAAAAUAGGUGCCCGUACCGCAAACCGACACAGGUAGUCAAGAUGAGAAUUCUAAGGUGAGCGAGCGAACUCUCGUUAAGGAACUCGGCAAAAUGACCCCGUAACUUCGGGAGAAGGGGUGCUCUUUAGGGUUAACGCCCAGAAGAGCCGCAGUGAAUAGGCCCAAGCGACUGUUUAUCAAAAACACAGGUCUCUGCUAAACCGUAAGGUGAUGUAUAGGGGCUGACGCCUGCCCGGUGCUGGAAGGUUAAGAGGAGUGGUUAGCUUCUGCGAAGCUACGAAUCGAAGCCCCAGUAAACGGCGGCCGUAACUAUAACGGUCCUAAGGUAGCGAAAUUCCUUGUCGGGUAAGUUCCGACCCGCACGAAAGGCGUAACGAUUUGGGCACUGUCUCAACGAGAGACUCGGUGAAAUCAUAGUACCUGUGAAGAUGCAGGUUACCCGCGACAGGACGGAAAGACCCCGUGGAGCUUUACUGUAGCCUGAUAUUGAAAUUCGGCACAGCUUGUACAGGAUAGGUAGGAGCCUUUGAAACGUGAGCGCUAGCUUACGUGGAGGCGCUGGUGGGAUACUACCCUAGCUGUGUUGGCUUUCUAACCCGCACCACUUAUCGUGGUGGGAGACAGUGUCAGGCGGGCAGUUUGACUGGGGCGGUCGCCUCCUAAAAGGUAACGGAGGCGCUCAAAGGUUCCCUCAGAAUGGUUGGAAAUCAUUCAUAGAGUGUAAAGGCAUAAGGGAGCUUGACUGCGAGACCUACAAGUCGAGCAGGGUCGAAAGACGGACUUAGUGAUCCGGUGGUUCCGCAUGGAAGGGCCAUCGCUCAACGGAUAAAAGCUACCCCGGGGAUAACAGGCUUAUCUCCCCCAAGAGUUCACAUCGACGGGGAGGUUUGGCACCUCGAUGUCGGCUCAUCGCAUCCUGGGGCUGUAGUCGGUCCCAAGGGUUGGGCUGUUCGCCCAUUAAAGCGGUACGCGAGCUGGGUUCAGAACGUCGUGAGACAGUUCGGUCCCUAUCCGUCGUGGGCGUAGGAAAUUUGAGAGGAGCUGUCCUUAGUACGAGAGGACCGGGAUGGACAUACCUCUGGUGUACCAGUUGUCGUGCCAACGGCAUAGCUGGGUAGCUAUGUGUGGACGGGAUAAGUGCUGAAAGCAUCUAAGCAUGAAGCCCCCCUCAAGAUGAGAUUUCCCAACUUCGGUUAUAAGAUCCCUCAAAGAUGAUGAGGUUAAUAGGUUCGAGGUGGAAGCAUGGUGACAUGUGGAGCUGACGAAUACUAA